rnacentral:rRNA from 1 species
GAGUUUGAUCGUGGCUCAGGAUGAACGCUGGCGGCGUGCCUAACACAUGCAAGUCGAACGGAGUUCUUAAGGAAUGCGGCUUCGGCCAAAUGACUUUUGAACUUAGUGGCGGACGGGUGAGUAACGCGUGAGCAACCUGCCUUUCAGAGGGGGAUAACAUUUGGAAACAGAUGCUAAUACCGCAUAAGAUUACAGUACCGCAUGAUACAGUGAUCAAAAGGAGCAAUCCGCUGAAAAGAUGGGCUCGCGUCCGAUUAGAUAGUUGGUGAGGUAACGGCUCACCAAGUCGACGAUCGGUAGCCGGACUGAGAGGUUGAACGGCCACAUUGGGACUGAGACACGGCCCAGACUCCUACGGGAGGCAGCAGGUGGGGAACAUUGCACAAUGGGCGAAAGCCUGAUGCAGCAACGCCGCGUGAGGGAAGACGGUUUUCGGAUUGUAAACCUCUGUUUUCGGUGACGAACAAAUGACGGUAACCGAGUAGGAAGCCACGGCUAACUACGUGCCAGCCGCGCAGU